rnacentral:rRNA from 1 species
GGUUAAGCGACUAAGCGUACACGGUGGAUGCCCUGGCAGUCAGAGGCGAUGAAGGACGUGCUAAUCUGCGAAAAGCGUCGGUAAGGUGAUAUGAACCGUUAUAACCGGCGAUGUCCGAAUGGGGAAACCCAGUGUGAUUCGUCACACUAUCGUUAACUGAAUACAUAGGUUAACGAGGCGAACCGGGGGAACUGAAACAUCUAAGUACCCCGAGGAAAAGAAAUCAACCGAGAUUCCCCCAGUAGCGGCGAGCGAACGGGGAGCAGCCCAGAGUCUGAAUCAGCUUGUGUGUUAGUGGAACGGUCUGGAAAGUCCGACGGUACAGGGUGAUAGUCCCGUACACCAAAAUGCACAGGCUGUGAACUCGAAGAGUAGGGCGGGACACGUGGUAUCCUGUCUGAAUAUGGGGGGACCAUCCUCCAAGGCUAAAUACUCCUGACUGACCGAUAGUGAACCAGUACCGUGAGGGAAAGGCGAAAAGAACCCCGGCGAGGGGAGUGAAAAAGAACCUGAAACCGUGUACGUACAAGCAGUGGGAGCACCUUCGGGUGUGACUGCGUACCUUUUGUAUAAUGGGUCAGCGACUUAUAUUCUGUAGCAAGGUUAACCGUAUAGGGGAGCCGCAGGGAAACCGAGUCUUAACUGGGCGUUAAGUUGCAGGGUAUAGACCCGAAACCCGGUGAUCUAGCCAUGGGCAGGUUGAAGGUUGGGUAACACUAACUGGAGGACCGAACCGACUAAUGUUGAAAAAUUAGCGGAUGACUUGUGGCUGGGGGUGAAAGGCCAAUCAAACCGGGAGAUAGCUGGUUCUCCCCGAAAGCUAUUUAGGUAGCGCCUCGUGAAUUCAUCUUCGGGGGUAGAGCACUGUUUCGGCUAGGGGGUCAUCCCGACUUACCAACCCGAUGCAAACUACGAAUACCGAAGAAUGUUAUCACGGGAGACACACGGCGGGUGCUAACGUCCGUCGUGAAGAGGGAAACAACCCAGACCGCCAGCUAAGGUCCCAAAGUCAUGGUUAAGUGGGAAACGAUGUGGGAAGGCACAGACAGCCAGGAUGUUGGCUUAGAAGCAGCCAUCAUUUAAAGAAAGCGUAAUAGCUCACUGGUCGAGUCGGCCUGCGCGGAAGAUGUAACGGGGCUAAACCAUGCACCGAAGCUGCGGCAGCGACACUAUGUGUUGUUGGGUAGGGGAGCGUUCUGUAAGCCUGCGAAGGUGACCUGUGAGGGUUGCUGGAGGUAUCAGAAGUGCGAAUGCUGACAUAAGUAACGAUAAAGCGGGUGAAAAGCCCGCUCGCCGGAAGACCAAGGGUUCCUGUCCAACGUUAAUCGGGGCAGGGUGAGUCGACCCCUAAGGCGAGGCCGAAAGGCGUAGUCGAUGGGAAACAGGUUAAUAUUCCUGUACUUGGUGUUACUGCGAAGGGGGGACGGAGAAGGCUAUGUUAGCCGGGCGACGGUUGUCCCGGUUUAAGCAUGUAGGCUGGUUGUCCAGGCAAAUCCGGAUAAUCAAGGCUGAGGUGUGAUGACGAGGUACUACGGUGCUGAAGUAACAAAUGCCCUGCUUCCAGGAAAAGCCUCUAAGCAUCAGGUAACAUCAAAUCGUACCCCAAACCGACACAGGUGGUCAGGUAGAGAAUACCAAGGCGCUUGAGAGAACUCGGGUGAAGGAACUAGGCAAAAUGGUGCCGUAACUUCGGGAGAAGGCACGCUGGUGUGUAGGUGAAGUCCCUGCGGAUGGAGCUGAGACCAGUCGAAGAUACCAGCUGGCUGCAACUGUUUAUUAAAAACACAGCACUGUGCAAACACGAAAGUGGACGUAUACGGUGUGACGCCUGCCCGGUGCCGGAAGGUUAAUUGAUGGGGUUAUCCGUAAGGAGAAGCUCUUGAUCGAAGCCCCGGUAAACGGCGGCCGUAACUAUAACGGUCCUAAGGUAGCGAAAUUCCUUGUCGGGUAAGUUCCGACCUGCACGAAUGGCGUAAUGAUGGCCAGGCUGUCUCCACCCGAGACUCAGUGAAAUUGAACUCGCUGUGAAGAUGCAGUGUACCCGCGGCAAGACGGAAAGACCCCGUGAACCUUUACUAUAGCUUGACACUGAACAUUGAGCCUUGAUGUGUAGGAUAGGUGGGAGGCUUUGAAGCGUGGACGCCAGUCUGCGUGGAGCCAACCUUGAAAUACCACCCUUUAAUGUUUGAUGUUCUAACGUUGGCCCCUGACCGGGGUUGCGGACAGUGUCUGGUGGGUAGUUUGACUGGGGCGGUCUCCUCCCAAAGCGUAACGGAGGAGCACGAAGGUUAGCUAAUCCUGGUCGGACAUCAGGAGGUUAGUGCAAUGGCAUAAGCUAGCUUGACUGCGAGCGUGACGGCGCGAGCAGGUGCGAAAGCAGGUCAUAGUGAUCCGGUGGUUCUGAAUGGAAGGGCCAUCGCUCAACGGAUAAAAGGUACUCCGGGGAUAACAGGCUGAUACCGCCCAAGAGUUCAUAUCGACGGCGGUGUUUGGCACCUCGAUGUCGGCUCAUCACAUCCUGGGGCUGAAGUAGGUCCCAAGGGUAUGGCUGUUCGCCAUUUAAAGUGGUACGCGAGCUGGGUUUAGAACGUCGUGAGACAGUUCGGUCCCUAUCUGCCGUGGGCGCUGGAGAAUUGAGGGGGGCUGCUCCUAGUACGAGAGGACCGGAGUGGACGCAUCACUGGUGUUCGGGUUGUCAUGCCAAUGGCACUGCCCGGUAGCUAAAUGCGGAAGAGAUAAGUGCUGAAAGCAUCUAAGCACGAAACUUGCCCCGAGAUGAGUUCUCCCUGAGACUUUAAGUCUCCUGAAGGAACGUUGAAGACGACGACGUUGAUAGGCCGGGUGUGUAAGCGCAGCGAUGCGUUGAGCUAACCGGUACUAAUGAACCGUGAGGCUUAACCUU